UGGAUAACUUUGGGCUGAUCGCACGAUCUUGUAUCGGCGACGUUUCUUUUAAGUGUCUGCCUUAUCAACUGUCGAUGGUAGGUUAUGCGCCUACCAUGGUCGUAACGGGUGACGGGGAAUCAGGGUUCGAUUCCGGAGAGGGAGCCUGAGAAACGGCUACCACAUCCAAGGAAGGCAGCAGGCGCGCAAAUUACCCACUCCCGGCAAGGGGAGGUAGUGACGAAAAAUAACGAUGCGGGACUCUUUUGAGGCCCCGCAAUCGGAAUGAGUACACUCUAA
rnacentral:rRNA from 1 species